CAAAAAGCAGCGUGGUUGUGUUGUGCGCUUAGGGCCAAAGUAAAACAAAAAGGUAAUUAUUUCGGCCUUGCUGUAUUAAAUUUAGAAACACACAGACAGUUUCUUGAAGCGCCAGCCUUUUUGGACAAGUGAAAUAGCACAUAAUUAGGUGUGUGCGGAUGAUUAGCUCAACGAAGACGUUAACACUCUCGAAGCCGCACUUGUCGCAAACGACGCAUCUGAUAUUUGUACGCCUCCGACACUACUUCAAGAACAUGCUCUGUCCGGAUCUAAAUCCACCGGCCACGGUCCGGGGAAUGCAGCAGCUGGACCGAGCCGCUUUUGCCAAAACCAUCAAAGUGCCUCAUCUGCUAGUACCGAGAGACAAAAACUUGAACGAAGUCUGCCGGUCGGUCAAGAAGUAUCUGCUGAAAAUGGAACGCUACAAACCGGUGAUUACAGAGGAGUACAAAAUCACCCUGCAUCCGCUGGCCGUUCAAAAGUGGGAAGAUUUGGCGGAUGUGAAGCUGGAAAAGCUAGACAUCGGCAGCGAAGCGCUGGUUUGGCAGGAAAUCCAGCUAUCGUACGAAAACUGGAAGUAUGAUGAAAUAUUCAAAGCCGUCCUGCCGGCCGAUAAGGAAGCGCUAUCUUCGUUCAGCAAAGUUGGCCAUAUAAUCCAUCUUAACCUAAAGGACCACUUGCUACCGUACAAGGAACUGAUUGGAGAGGUGAUACGUGACAAAAUAGCCGACUGCCGGACGGUGGUGAACAAAUCGAUUUCGAUCGACAACACCUACCGGAACUUUCAGAUGGAACUGCUCUGCGGUGAGCCCGACUACCAGGUAUCGGUGAAGGAGAAUGGAUGUAUGUUUCAGUUUGAUUUUUCCAAAGUGUACUGGAAUCCGCGACUGUCUACCGAGCAUGAGAAAAUAGUGAAAAUGCUCAACAAACACGACGUGCUGUACGAUUUGUACGCCGGUGUCGGUCCGUUCACGGUUCCGGCAGCCCGCAAAGGAUGUAAGGUGCUGGCCAACGACCUAAAUCCCGACUCGUACCAAGCUUUGGUGGCCAACUGUACGCUAAACAAGGUGGCAAAAAACGUCACCUGCCACAACAAGGAUGCGGUGGACUUUAUCAAGCAAGAAGUGAAAGAUGCUUUACUUGCUAAAUGCACCGAAAAGGAGUUUGACGGUGAAAUACACAUCACCAUGAAUUUGCCAGCGAUGGCGGUGGAGCAUUUGGUGCACUUUCCGGGUCUGCUGAAAGACGCCGAUAUCGUACUACACAAAAAGCCAUUGGUGCAUGUGUACUGCUUCGCGAAAGGUGUUGAUGAUAAGAAGCAGAUUGCCCGCGAACUAGUUGAGCAAUGGCUUGGAAUGGAAGUGGACGACAAGCUGAAAGAAAUUGCAUUCGUACGCAAUGUGGCACCCAACAAGGACAUGAUGCGUGUUAGUUUCUAUCUUACGGAGGACUUACUGCUUGGUCACAGUACCAAUAGCAAAAAGCGUCAGCUGGAUGAAGAGCAAACGCUGUCGGAGGACGCCAAACGACCAUGCGUAGAAUCGGACAAGCAACAGCCCCAUUAUGGCUAAGAAAGCAAACAAGAUGAAAGAUCAGCGGAAGCAGCUUGCGAAAAAGGCCAAAACCGUCUUUACAGUAUCGCAAGCCAAAAAGACAAACAUGAAAAAGACGAAGGAAAUUUCAAGCAACUUAAAACAGAUUAAGGUGCAGGACAAACGAGAGAAGGUGGACCAAAAGUUUCAGGACCUGCACGCCCAAAUAGUUUCAAAGAAGCCUCCGAAACCGGCACCCAAACCACUGCCAGCUAAGAAUAAAAACAAAGCAGACACGAAAAAGAUUGAAGCCGAUCUAAACGAAAUGCAGAUGUAGAAAUAAAGCUGUGUAAAAAAAGGAUCCCAAACAAUAAAGCAAUGUGAUCGAACGAA